rnacentral:rRNA from 1 species
UACGUAGGCAGCAAGCGUUGUUCGGAGUUACUGGGCGUAAAGGGUGUGUAGGCGGUUGUUUAAGUUUGGUGUGAAAUCUCCCGGCUCAACUGGGAGGGUGCGCCGAAUACUGAAUGACUAGAGUGCGGGAGAGGUGAGUGGGAAUUCCUGGUGUAGCGGUGAAAUGCGUAGAUAUCAGGAGGAACACCGAUGGUGUAGACGGCUCACUGGACCGUAACUGACGCUGAGACACGAAAGCGUGGGUAGCAAACAGG